AUGAAACUGGACGCCUUCCUUCCCGGCGAUCUUGACUUAACCUGUCAGCAGAGGGCUUGAGGUUAGACCACAGGUUGAACCUAGGUGGCUGCUGGAGAGGGUCACCUCAUUGCCCAAGAUGGCUGCUGGAGCCCCAGCCAGCAGGAAGGAAGAAGAAAGCCUGAAGAAGGACAUGCCCCUUCCCUUCAAGGAAGCUUCCUAGAAGUCACACUUAUAUUCCAUUGGCCAGAACUCAGUCAUCUAGCCAUACCUAGCUGCAAGGGAAGCUAGGUAGUCUAGUCUUUAUUCCAUGGGGGUCUGGCUAAAAGUUGGGAAAUAAACGAGGAAUGGAUAUUAGGAGACAGGAUCUGCCACAAAGCCUCUUUGUUCCUUUUAGAUUGCAACUGCCAGAGGGUAAGUGGGGCCUUCCCAACGCCCUGCCUCAAGCAAUCCUGGUUCUCUCCCUUCUCUGAGGUCUCAGUUCUUCCCUGAUACUCAGUAGUUACUGCCUGGAGCUGCUAAAGGCAGCAGCACAAUGCCACAUCCGGCUGCCGUUGGCUGUUGUCCACCGUCUGCAGAUCCAGGCCAGUGCACUCACUUAUCUCACAACAGCUCAACAGGCAGCUAGUCUUAGUCCCAUUUUAUAGUUGAGAAAUUGAGGCCUAAAGAGGUUAAGUAACUUGCCCAAGAGCACGCAGCUGGGCUCUGAGCCCAGUUCCUGUGUGUUUCUUUCUUUCCUGUUGAGCCUUCCCUGUAGGGGUGGAUGCCCUGGGCCUUCUCAGGGUCUGACAAGAGGAACUGGAAUGGUCUGAGCCCUAGGAGGGGCCUGUCUGGGAGGAGAGGGCAGGCAGGGGCGUGACCUGGGUCCUCA
rnacentral:lncRNA from 10 species